CAAUAGCGUAUAUUUAAGUUGUUGCAGUUAAAAAGCUCGUAGUUGGAUUUCGGUUAAGAGCGACCGGUCCGCCGUUUGGUGUGCACUGGUUGGUUUUAACUUCCUGUAGAGGACGUGCUCUGGGUUUAACGACCUGGACUCGGAGUCUACGUGGUUACUUUGAAAAAAUUAGAGUGUUCAAAGCGGGCUUACGCUUGAAUAUUUCAGCAUGGAAUAACACUAUAGGACUCCUGUCCUAUUUCGUUGGUCUCGGGACGGGAGUAAUGAUUAAGAGGAACAGUUGGGGGCAUUCGUAUUUCAUUGUCAGAGGUGAAAUUCUUGGAUUUAUGAAAGACGAACUUCUGCGAAAGCAUUUGUCAAGGAUGUUUUCAUUAA
rnacentral:rRNA from 1 species